AUUGAACGCUGGCGGAAUGCUUUACACAUGCAAGUCGAACGGUAGAGGGGGCAACCCCUCGAGAGUGGCGAACGGGUGAGUAAUAUAUCGGAACGCGCCCAGUCGUGGGGGAUAACGUAGCGAAAGUUACGCUAAUACCGCACACGAUCUAAGGAUGAAAGCGGGGGAUCGCAAGACCUCGCGCGAUUGGAGCGGCCGAUAUCAGAUUAGGUAGUUGGUGGGGUAAAGGCUCACCAAGCCAACGAUCUGUAGCUGGUCUGAGAGGACGACCAGCCACACUGGAACUGAGACACGGUCCAGACUCCUACGGGAGGCAGCAGUGGGGAAUGUUGGACAAUGGACGCAAGUCUGAUCCAGCCAUUCCGCGUGCAGGAUGAAGGCCCUCGGGUUGUAAACUGCUUUUGUACGGAACGAAAAGGUCUCUCUUAAUACGGGGGGCUCAUGACGGUACCGUAAGAAUAAGCACCGGCUAACUACGUGCCAGCAGCCGCAGUAA
rnacentral:rRNA from 1 species